UCAAACUUGGUCAUUUAGAGGAAGUAAAAGUCGUAACAAGGUUUCCGUAGGUGAACCUGCGGAAGGAUCAUUAAAAAAGUACGCCCCAGAUAAGGUGGAAAACACUGACUGCUGGUGGCUGUAUUCAACCACUUGUUUACUUGUACCUGUUGCUUCCGUGGAGUUAUGGGUGCUCGCCCUGUUCGCAGGUGUGGGUUACCUUCCACGGGUGUAGUUUGAACACUUGUUUAGUUGCAUGUAGUGUCUGAAUAGCUAUUGUAAUAAAGUUAAAACUUUCAACAACGGAUCUCUAGGUUCUCGCAUCGAUGAAGAACGCAGC
rnacentral:misc_RNA from 1 species